rnacentral:tRNA from 1 species
GGUGAUGUAGCUCAGUAGGUAGAGCAAAGGACUGAAAAUCCUUGUGUCGGCGGUUCGAUCCCGUCCAUCACCACUA